AUUCCAGCUCCAGUAGCGUAUAUUAAAGUUGUUGCAGUUAAAAAGCUCGUAGUUGGAUUUCUGGUACGCUGCGCCUGAGCCGCCUGCUUUAAGCAUGGUGUGUCUCGGAGCGCGGUUGCCAUCCUUCUAGAAAACGUUUCUAUCCUUCGCUGGACCGGAUUCGCAAUCUAGAUCUUUUACUUUGAAAAAAUUAGAGUGUUUAAAGCAGGCUUAUGCUAUGAAUACAUUAGCAUGGAAUAAUAAUAUAGGACUUUGGUUCUAUUUUGUUGGUUUCUAGAACUAAAGUAAUGAUUGAUAGGGAUAGUUGGGGGUGCUAGUAUUCAGCGGCCAGAGGCGAAAUUCUUGGAUUCGCUGAAGACUAACUUAUGCGAAAGCAUUCACCAAGGAUGUCUUCAUUC
rnacentral:rRNA from 1 species